rnacentral:lncRNA from 1 species
GCCCUGCUGCCUCCCAGAUUGGCUGCUCUACCUGCAAAGCCCUCAGGUAGCUUGGCGGGCGGGAAGCUCUCCCUGGCAGGGACUCCUGCCAAGACACUCCUGCCCAGUGCUCCUGAGCUCAGAUCUGCCCUGGCUUGUGCCUGCCACAUGUGGACUUGGGGAAGUGCUGUUUUUGGCAGUGGGUGAGCAGGGGCCCCAUAUCCUUGAGGGUGUUAGGUGAGGAGGACGCGUGACUCAUUGUGCUCUGGUGGGUAUAAGGCUGCAGCCGGGGGAGGGCCAGGUCCAGGCCCAGGAGAGAUUUUCCAGUCUGGCAGGCAAGUUGGCUCAAGGCCAGGUAUAGGCUCAGGACACAGUGCCAACAGUUGCCUGAGGCUGGACACAGAUGCCCUUCGGGCAGGGUGGAGGGCUCUUGGCUCUAGCUGUCCCCUGAACUGACCUGGGUGUCACAAACAUGUGGCUGCUGAGCUGGGCUUAUAAGAGCCAUGUGGCUGAAGGGAUAAGGGGGCACUUCCCACUCUCUCAGGCCCCAGGGAAGGAGAGAAACUGCUGAGCGGCAGGACUGGUCCUGCUUGCUCUACCUAAGAAACAUAAAAAGGAGGCCUGAGUGGCAACCCUCCCGCACCUCAAAAUGCACCCGCACUGCCCUCUCUCAGCUGAAAUCUGCAGGAGCAGCAAAGAGGCUCGGCCAUGUGCUGUGCCUGAGCGGGUACCACCAUUUUUGGCAAACUCUUUAACAGCCUCCCAGGCCCCUCCCAACAGGGCAGGAAUUUCUGGUGAACAAUUGAACAAAGCCGGGAACUCGGAGAGAGAAGGCACAGGACAUUCCAAAAGGAUUUCUCUCAAGCUCCAAAAGACAACAUGCGGGAACACUGCAGAAAGCUCACGGCCAAGCAAAGAAAAUCAUGAAAGGGACGGAAAAUCCGUCUGGGAGGAAGGGCAGUGCAGGCUGAAGGAAGGAACAAGGGACUGGGGGUGGUCAGGAGGCCUGGGUGGGAGGCCUUUCUCUGCCACUUGUAUCCCUGCGGAGGCCAUUCCACCUCCCUAGCCUUGGAUUUGUGGUCCUUAAAAACUGAGGGAGCUGCAAAGUGAACACACGGACCCACACACAGCCAUUCAUAGCAAUGCCCUUGUGAAUAACAAAGACCUGGAAACAGCCCAAAUAUCCAACAUUUCCAUCAUUCACAUAAUGAAUGGCAGUGUGUUGAUAAGACAUGAUACCAAAUGAUUAUCAAAAAUAUUGUGUGCAGGCCGGGCGCGGUGGUUCACGCCUGUAAUCCCAGCACUUUGGGAGGCCGAGGCGGGCAGAUCACCUGAGGUCAGGAGUUUGCGACCAGCCUCAACAUGGAGAAACCCCGUCGCUACUAAAAAUACAAAAAUUAGCCAGGCAUGGUCGUGCAUGCCUGUAAUCCCAGCUACUCGGGAGGCUGAGGCAGGAGAAUUGCUUGAACCUGGGAGGCAGAGGUUGUGGUAAGCUGAGAUCACGCCAUUGCACUCCAGCCUGGGCAACAAGAGCGAAACUCCAUCUCAAAAAAAAAAAAAAAAAAGAAAGAAAGAAAUAUUGUGUGCAAAGGCAAUGUCUUUUUUUGUUUGUUUGUUUGUUUGUUUUGAGACUGAGUUUCGCUCUUGUUGCCCAAGCUGGAGUGCAAUGGCACGAUCUCGGCUCACUGCAACCCCUGCCUCCCGGAUUCAAGUGAUUCUCUUUUCUCAGCCUCCCGAGCAACUGGGAUUACAGGCGCCUGCCACCACAUCCGGCUAAUUUUUUAUAUUUUUAGUAGAAAUGGGGUUUCACCAUGUUAGCCAGGCUGGUCUCGAAUGCCUGACCUCAGGUGAUCCGCCUGCCUCGGACUCCCAAAGUGCUGGAAUUACAGGCAUGAGCCAUCGCAAAGGCAAUGUCAAUGCUAUUCAAAGUAGCUGGCCCAGGAAUUGUUCAUGGCACCAUCCGUCACAAAGAGCUUGCACCAGAAUAUAAAUCUAUGUGCUGCUUCCAAUAUGGGACAAGAAUGGCCAGGAAAAAAAAAAUUUCAACUGAGCUAAACCGUCACUAAGCUGUGCUUAUUGAAACAGUUGAUUUACACCUGGAGCAAGCUCUUUAUCUCAUCUCAGACUGGUAAUAAACAGUUUGGGGGCUGGCACCACAGGCUCAUUUUUAAGUAGCUCUGUUCCUUCCUGACACAUAGAACGUGUUUAUCUAAAAAAUGUUCAGUGAGAAAGGCCGGGCACGGUGACUCACGCCUGUAAUCUUAGCACUUUGGGAGGCUGAGGCGGGUGGAUCACGUGGUCAAGAGAUCGAGACUAUCCUGGCUAACACGGUGAAACCCUGUCUCUACUAAAAAUACAAAAAAAUUAGCCGGGCUUGUUGGCAGGUGCCUGUAGUCCCAGCUACUCGGGAGGCUGAGGCAGGAGAAUGGCGAAUGGCAUGAACCCGGGAAGCGGAGCCUGCAGUGAGCCAAGAUCACGCCACUGCACUCCAGCCUGGGAGACACAGCGAGACUCCGACUAAAAAAAAAAUGUUCGGUGAGAAAAGCAAGACAUGAAAUCGUACAUAUGCGUGGAAAUAUACACAGUGAGAUCAAAUGCGUAAUGUCUACACUGACGAGGGAAGGGAAAGGAGCAUUUAUGGAGCUCUAACCACGAGCCUGGCAGAGAAGUCUUCUAUAGCUGAAGUAGGGGCUAGUAGGCAGGAAUGUGAGAGUGUGUACGGAGCCGUAAGAAUUCCAGCCUGGCUGGAGGGGAGGGGUGGGAGUGGAGAGCCAUGAGUGCAAAUUCAAAUUAUAAAGACCAUCUAUGGUCAGCUCAGGAGCCAGGCUCUGGGGCAGCAUUCGCAAAGUGUUAUGAGAAACCUCAGCCCUAUAAGAUUUUAAAAGGAUUUUCCAUAAAAACCACUGGGUUCCGUUCUCAAAGAGGUUGAGGAAGGCUGGAUUAAACACAGUUGCACAGGCGACUUCACUGGAGGCCUAUUCAAAACCCUUCCUGCUUUGGUGUCCCUUGAGGUGGUCAAAGUGUGGGAAAGAGUGCAGGGUACCCAAACUUCUUUGGCCAAAGAACCUCUUUUUCAAAGAGCAUCUCAGAUUGCAGGUGACCCAUGAGGCACAGUGUGGGAACCCUGCCUUGGGCCUGGGACCCCAGUCCAAGAAAGCAAUUGAUAAUGAUGAAGGGUAGUGGGGAAACAUCAAGUUGGGGCAGGGGGUCAAAUACAAGAGCUUUCAGAAGAUUCACGCUUCUGCCUGAGCUGGGAGAAGCGCACUUGUGCCUGGCCAGAGUUGAGAACAGCCCACAGGGAGGCAGAAUGGGUGUGGUUGAGAAUGGGAGUUUGUAGAAUCAGACCGACAUGGACAUGAAUCCUGGUUCUACCUCUUACUGACUGCAUGACCUGGGCAAGCCACUUCAUCCCCUGGGCCUCAGUUUUCCCAGCUGGAAAGGGAGGGGAAUAAUAAAAUGUACUGCCUUGCCUGCUCCCCAGGGUUUAUCUUUGUUCCAAGCACAAACCAGAACAGGGACAUUUACACUGUGUGCCACGUUUGAACUAAUGUCUUGUUCUUUCAUUUAAGUAACAAUUAUCCAAAUGCCAACUCUGUGCCACACACUGUGCUCUUCACAGGGGAUAUAAUUGGGACCAAGACAGAAACAAGACCUUCAUGCCCUCUGCCUUCAUUAUGCCUCAUAAUAUUAAAUGAUCUUCCAAAUAAUUACAAUGGUCAAAAAUGCUACAAGAAAAGCAUGGCGGGGGGGGCGCUGUGGGAAAGUGUGGUGGGGAACACGACCUCGCUUGGGAGGUCAGAGAAGAUUUCUGUGGUCAUGUGAUGUUUGGACUCAAUCUUAAGGGAGAGUAGAGUGAAGGGGGAUGGGUGUUAACUGGGAAAAGCACUUAGGAGAGGGAACAGCAUCUGCAAAGACUAUGGUGGGGAAGGGCUGUGGCUGGAUUGAUGGGCAGGACUAGAUCAUGCCAGGCCUUGUGGGGUCCCCGCCCUCUCCAUGGGAACUUUUGCUGCCUGCUUAGACCCACCUCCUGCCUCCUCUUCCUCCUCUUCUUCAGUACUAUCUUCUUGUUUUUUCUCCUCCAUCUCAAUUCUCUUUCACACCAAUUUCUGACUCUUCAUUUUCACCCAAGGACAUAUUGUUACUCUAUUAGCAUUUGUUUUCCCACAUGGACAUAGAAACUCUCGUGGGCAGUGUUUAGUUUCACUAUUGAAUGAAUAUAGGGCCACAGCUAGCCUUACAGUGCCUUCACUCAUAUCAGCAAAAAGUACCCAUUCUGGGCCGGG